rnacentral:rRNA from 1 species
UACGUAGGUGGCAAGCGUUGUCCGGAUUUAUUGGGUUUAAAGGGUGCGUAGGCGGCCAUUUAAGUCAGUGCUGAAAUACUCUAGCUUAACUAGAGGGGUGGCAUUGAUACUGAAUGGCUUGAGUGAAGUCGAGGUAGGCGGAAUUGACGGUGUAGCGGUGAAAUGCUUAGAUAUCGUCAAGAACACCGAUAGUGAAGACAGCUUACUAGACUUCAACUGACGCUGAGGCACGAAAGUGUGGGGAUCAAACAGG